rnacentral:rRNA from 1 species
CAGUAGCGUAUAUUAAUACUGUUGCAGUUAAAAGGCUCGUAGUCGAACUUGUGGCCAAUGUGAUCAAUCCCAAUACCAAGUGUAUUGAGCGAUUUAUUACAUGGCCAUGCUCCUUGGGAGUAUUGGGUGCACUUGAUUGAGCAACCUAUACAAACAAGGUCAUUUACUGUGAGAAAAUCAGCGUGUUCAAAGCAGGCUUGUAAAGCUUGAAUGUUGUAGCAUGGAAUAAUGAGAUAGGACUUUUUGGUUUUAUUUCGUUGGCUUGAAAACCAAAGUAAUGAUUGAUAGGGAUAGUUGGGGGUGCUAGUAUUUAACGGUCAGCGGUGAAAUGCGGAGACCCGUUAAAGACUAACUUAUGCGAAAGCAUUCACCAAGGAUAUCUUCUUUGA